AUUAUGAAAGAUCUGCUCAAAUUUAUAAAUUUAUACCUGAAACCGUAAGUUAGCUAGCUAACUUGUGAGCUACAUGAUUUCGUUCAACUGCUAACGCGUGACGGCAGCUGGCAAGCAAAAUCGGUGUAGGUCCAAAUACAAUAGCAUUUUAUGUGUUUGUCGUAAACGAACCUUGUUCACUGUUUCACAUUGGCGUUUUUAGCGUGAUUUUGAGAGGCAACAUGUUCUGGAAAAGUUGUGGAUGGUAUUUGUAUUUAGGCAUUUAACAUGCUGAUUAUCAGUUUUUUGCGAAGUUAACGUUCCUUUUAAAUGCAUUUGCAAGCUGAAAGUGGCGUUUGAAUAUAUUGCGUUUUUUCACGCAUAAAUCUGAACUACCUCAUAGCUACCUAAGGAGUGUACGUUUGUCAUGGAAAGUGCGUUUGUAGCUACAGUGCUGCAGUUAAUUUCCCACUAGUCUCCUACAUGCAGCAGUCGAUCGAUCUAUGGCAUUCCUGAACCCAUCGUUUAUAGCCACAUUUAGCUAUAAAGUGUGAGCAAAGCUCGAUAUCAUCUCAGUCAGAGCAUGUUAAUGUUAGCUGACACCAUAUUCGUGACAUUGUACACAAAAUUCCAUCUGAUUGCUAAGGCCCCAUUCCAUCGUUGCAGCUCUGAGCGUGUUCAGCUGUGCAGCUCUUGUAGUGCACGUGUUUGCCGGACAGUGCUUCCCAUCUUGCUCAUUUUGUUUUCAUGGCUGAUGCCAUAGUUUCAUACUGGUGCGUUUUAAGAGUAGGGACGUUGUACGCUGGUCCAAUGCUCUGGUUCAAUGUGGUGAAGCAACUCUUUGAAUCUGUCACCUUCGAGGAAGCUUACUGACAACGUGUCUCUUGCUAUCAUACUAGUAAACCUUUGUGUAGUGCUCUCAGACUUUGCAGGAGUCGGCUUACUGCUAGAAGUCACUGUGAAAGAUGUUAUUGGCGUUUGGUGUUGCCUUGUUGCUCCAGGGUCGAGAGACACAUUGGCGUGUGUUAAUUUCAGAUGUUCCAAAAUACAAAAAGUCAGUGUAGUUUCACAAAGUCUGCAGACGACAAUAUUUUCAUGCAGGGUGAAAUGUUCCCAAACUUUUUUUUGCUGCUCAGAGCAAGUUGACACCAUUUUGCAACCAAGCUAGUCGCUCUGGGAAGAUUUCAAAGCGAGGUUACAGAGGAUUACAGAAUGAUAUCACCACCCUGUGGUUUGGGUUGAAAUUGCUAUAAUUUCAUAGAACAGCGAAAGUGAUAGGCUAUGCCUCAAAGUUUCGUUUAAUUUUAAGUUAUUAAUUUUUUUAAAUAACAAAACCGAAAACAAUGAGCCUUACUUUAUAUUUAAUUCAUAUGGUAGCAUCAUGAUGCUAUCGUUAAUGCGUAUACAAUGUUAGUAGGCUCGGUUCAUUUGUCUGUAGUUGGCAAGCCCACAUCAAGCUUUGCACAGUUUCUUGCAAUUAAUAGCUGCGUUACUACAAUUAAUUAUUUUAAAUGCAGACUAUGAAACAAAAGGUGUGUCCCAACUGUUUUAAAAAUACCCACGCACUUGGGCACUUAAUACAUAUUUGCUUACUAUAGCCUAUGCCAAUCUGCGAUUAAUGAAGCAAUACACUUUUGCUGUUCACGGACAGAUGACUGCACAUCUCCUUAAGAAUUUUCUGGUACAGGGUAGAAUUCACGGUUCCUUCAGUAAUGGCAAGUUGUCCAGGUGCAGAGGCAGCAAAGCAUCCCCAUACCUCCACCAUGUUUGACUGUUUAGGCUAUAUGAUGUUCUUGCUGUGAAAUGCUGUAUUUUCUUUUUGUCAGACAUAAUAGGAUCCAUCCACAAAGUUCCACUUUUGACUCAUCUGUCCAAAGACCAUUAUCACAAAAGGCUUCUGUAACAAGUGUUGCUGUCCUUCUCCGCACAAACCACACAAUCCUCUAUUCUCGGACGCACGUGGGUUUUAUUGCGCUCGGUUUCAGGCCGUACAAACAAACACAAACAAAAACUAAAACAAACCAAACCACACACACGAUAAGGAAAGCACUCGGCGUCGCUCCCGCGUGUCUCUCAUUCCAGCGCCCCGGUCUCACUGCAGGCAGAGCAUAUAAACAAUUAGCAAUUAAUUGAUUGCACACACCUUGGUUGCAACGCCAGUAAAACCACUCCCUCUCCGCCCGCAGACGGCGCCCUAACCACACCAUCCCUCCACAGCUUCUAUGGACAGACUUGACAUGUGGUUUUUGUAUGCUUAACUACACUCACCGGUCACUUUAUUAGGUACACCUGUUCAACUGCUCGUUAGCGCAAAUAUCUAAUCAGCCAAUCACGUGGCAGCAGCUCAAUGCAUUUAGGCAUGUAGACAUGGUCAAGACUAUCUGCUGAAGUUCAAACCAAGCAUCAGAAUGGGGAAGAAAGGUGAUAUAAGUGACUUUGAACGUGGCAUGGUUGUUGGUGCCAGAUGGGCUGGUUUGAGUAUUUCAGAAACUGCUGAUUUACUGGUAUUUUCACGCACAACCAUCCCUAGGGUUUACAGAGAAUGGUCUGAAAAAGAGAAAAUAUCCAGUGAGCGGCAGUUCUCUGGGCAAAAAUGUCUUAUUGGUGGCAGAGGUCAGAGGAGAAUGGCCAGACUGGUUCGAGCUGAUAGAAAGGCAACAGUAACUCAAAUAACCACUUGUUACAACCGAGAUAUGCAGAAGAGCAUCUCUGAACACUCAACACGUCGAACCUUGAAGCAGAUGGGCUACAGCAGCAGAAGACAACCUGGUACUAGCAAGGUGUACCUAAUAAAGUGGCCGUGAGAUGUGAACAACAACAACAACAACAACCUAGAACAUGACACCCCGGAGCUGAAGCGUGAGGAAGAUGACACCCCAGGGCCAGAUGUCAUUGAGAAGUGGGAUGAAGGCCUUUCUGUCUCUAAAAGAAGGGCAUCAUAUUCACUCUUGAAUCUGCUGGAGCAGGCCUUCACUGAGUUUUGCCCCCUCAGUCAACAUGAGGGCUAAAGAGGAGGUGAAGAAAUACCAAGUGGCUCCGCCACUUCCUCUCUCCGAAGAUCCCCGCAACUGGUGUCCAUGAUGCAAUGUUUCCUGUUCCAGCCAAGUUGUCUAAGCGAUAGGUACAUGCAUUUCAGCAGAAAGAACCUUCUCCACUGGAGGGGACAUUGUGACGGCACAGUGAAGCACACUCCCACCAAAGCAUGUGGGCCAGCUGCUGUUCUUGAACAAGAAUUUGGACAUUUCUACUCUUACCAGUUCAAUGGUGCACGUGUGCACUUGCCCGUUUAAUUUUUUUUAAUAUGUAAAUUGUCUUUCAGUUUUUAUUUGUUAAAAUGUUAUUUGAUUCUGUACAAGCAACAGUUUUAUUUUGUUAUGGGAACUGUCUCAGCAGUAAGAGUCUUAUCCACUGUAGACAUUGGGGCACACUUACACAGUGGGAAGUGCGUAUGGGCCAUAUUUCAUUUCAUUUCAUAGUGUAUGCUACUUGAGAAUGGUGAACAUAUGCUUGCCCCAAUUAGCAAUUCAAUUUAACCUUUUAAUUGGGCCCAAAAUUAAGAAUAAGUUCAAAUCUUCUAGCAUAAUGGCACAAAUAAAACAGUGACCAUUACACCCAUGAUACGUGCAGUUGCGUUUAUCCAGUUCAGUGACAUUCCAGUUCAUAUCCAAUGUUCUUCAGGCUCACUUGCAUAGCUUUCAAAUGUAACUUACGGCUUCCUUCUAGCUGAAACUGCGGCUUAGCUAUUCUACUGCGUAUCUUACUUUCACUUUGCGUUUUCGAAUUGCGCACGAGUGGCUUAACGUAUGCUUUAUUGGAGAUUUGUUUGUCAGCAAAUGCUUGUAGAAUAAACACUGCAGUAGUGAUAACGGGUACUAUAUUGUAAAUCAUUUAUGAUUUGAUUUGAUAUUUAGUCAUUUUUCCUGUUAUGAUCUGGGUGAGAUUUGUAUGUGUGUCUGCUGUUGGUGAAAGACAUGAGUUCCCUCACUUCACACUUACCUGUGAAAUUUCUUUGUUAGAUUUGAUAACAAAUAAAAGUGAUGCUGGGA